GAAGAGAGAGUUCAAGAGUACGUGAAACCGUCUGGGAGUAAACGGGUGGUUCCCGAAAGUGCGAAAGGGGAGAUUCAGGUCUCGCCGCGCGCCGGGCNGCGCNCGNGACGAGGGAUGGUGCACUCGCGGCCGUGGGGCGACCCACGGUCCGGGANNNGCNCCACCCCGCGGGCGCGGUGUUUCCCGGCGCCGGAGUGACGCACUUCUCCCCCGGUAGAACGUCGNGAUCCGUCGGCCGCCGGCCUAAGGUCCCGGGUGGAGCCUGCGCGGAGUCCCUCCGCGCACGACCCCGGGGUUCCCGGCCGGGUGUCCGACGGUACGAAGAGAGGAAGGAGCCGGCGCGCCUCUCGCAGGCGUCCGCCCCUCCGCAAGCGCCCGCGGGAGUCGGGGGUUCCGGGCCCGGCCCGGCCUCCUUCUUCAGCGGGGCUGUUUGCGAUACGAUGGAGGAGUGCUNGGA
rnacentral:rRNA from 1 species